AAGGGAGACCUAAUUCAGGUAGGAGACGAAAAAAAAGUAGUCGCUACCAAGAAUCAAUCCCAAAAGGUCGGAGCGAGGCGAAAUUGGCUUUCAAACUAGGUUCUGGGUUCACACAAGACCUGAAUCAGGAACAAGGGCUAUUAGCUCAGGUGGUUAGAGCGCACCCCUGAUAAGGGUGAGGUCCCUGGUUCGAGUCCAGGAUGGCCCACCUGUACGGGUGGCAAAAAGAAAGAAAAGAAGCGAGGAAUCAGCACCUUAUCUUACUGACAUAGUAAGAGAGAAUGCUGGCUCUGAGUAAAGAGUCCAGAGGAACCUUGAAAACUGCAUAGAGCUAGGUGAAAAAGCCAAAAAAGAAGACCGCAA
rnacentral:tRNA from 1 species